rnacentral:tRNA from 1 species
GGAUGGGUGCCCGAGUGGUUAAUGGGGACAGACUGUAAAUCUGUUGGCUAACGCCUACGCUGGUUCGAAUCCAGCCCCAUCCACCA